rnacentral:rRNA from 1 species
UACAGAGGUCUCAAGCGUUGUUCGGAUUCAUUGGGCGUAAAGGGCGCGUAGGCGGCGGGGUAAGUCUGGUGUGAAAUCUCGGAGCUCAACUCCGAAAUUGCACUGGAUACUGCUCUGCUUGAGGGUUGGAGAGGAGAUCGGAAUUCACGGUGUAGCAGUGAAAUGCGUAGAUAUCGUGAGGAAGACCAGUGGCGAAGGCGGAUCUCUGGACAAAUCCUGACGCUGAGGCGACGAAGGCUAGGGGAGCAAACGGG